GACGUAGGGUCCGAGCGUUGUCCGGAAUUACUGGGCGUAAAGAGCUCGUAGGUGGUUUGUCGCGUUGUUCGUGAAAACUCACAGCUCAACUGUGGGCGUGCGGGCGAUACGGGCAGACUUGAGUACUGCAGGGGAGACUGGAAUUCCUGGUGUAGCGGUGGAAUGCGCAGAUAUCAGGAGGAACACCGGUGGCGAAGGCGGGUCUCUGGGCCGAUACUGACGCUGAGGAGCGAAAGCGUGGGGAGCGAACAGG
rnacentral:rRNA from 1 species